GCAAUAUCAAGACCGCCAGUCUGCCGAGCAAUAUCUCCCGCUGGAUGGAAGAUCUUCUCUCUAUCGA
rnacentral:pre_miRNA from 1 species